AUUGAACGCUGGCGGCAGGCCUAACACAUGCAAGUCGAGCGGAUGAGGGGAGCUUGCUCCUGGAUUCAGCGGCGGACGGGUGAGUAAUGCCUAGGAAUCUGCCUGGUAGUGGGGGAUAACGUCCGGAAACGGGCGCUAAUACCGCAUACGUCCUGAGGGAGAAAGUGGGGGAUCUUCGGACCUCACGCUAUCAGAUGAGCCUAGGUCGGAUUAGCUAGUUGGUGGGGUAAAGGCCUACCAAGGCGACGAUCCGUAACUGGUCUGAGAGGAUGAUCAGUCACACUGGAACUGAGACACGGUCCAGACUCCUACGGGAGGCAGCAGUGGGGAAUAUUGGACAAUGGGCGAAAGCCUGAUCCAGCCAUGCCGCGUGUGUGAAGAAGGUCUUCGGAUUGGAAAGCACUUUAAGUUGGGAGGAAGGGCAGUAAGUUAAUACCUUGCUGUUUUGACGUUACCAACAGAAGAAGCACCGGCUAACUUCGUG
rnacentral:rRNA from 1 species